GGGGAUUAGGAAUGGCAGAGUAAGAGCUGGGGGAGAGGAAGUUAGGGAAGGGGCUGGAACAAACAGAAAGGAGGUGGGGGAGGGGACCAGGGAAAUAAAGUCCAAGAGGUCAGCAGGGAUCAGAAGCCACAGGCUUAGUGGGGGCCUCAGGAGAGCAGCAAGCUGCGUCUAUCUUGGAAAAGUGGAGAGAGGACUGCAGUGACCUCAGCGGGGAGGAAAUGGGAGGUAGCAGGGCAGAGGAAGCAGCGGACAGACAGGAGGAAGAGAUGGUGCCCUGGGUCAGGUGGCGGCCACCGCUACCAUCACCAGAAGUAGAAAACUCUGUGUUCUCCUUACCUCUGUCACCAUGACACCCCCAUGCUUUCUGCCCCCACCUUCUUUAGUAAUAGAUGCUGGCAACUAAGGAGCAGAAUCUGAUUUGAGGUUGCCGAGGAAACCAUCAGGGGCAGCUGUGAACCCACCAGCCUUGCCCAGUAGGGAGCUCAGGAUCCCUAAAUUGGAUGAGCAAAUAAGCUUCUGCAGGCCUUGCUGUCCAGGCAAAUAAGACGAGGGCAGGGCCAUGUGGUGGAGGUGGGUCUCAAACAGGACUCCCAAGGGCACAGGCCCUGCCCAGCCUUGGCACCCAAGGCAGUGCUGCCCCCACAGGGACAGGUGACCUCUGCGGGCCUCUCAUUUUCCAGUGGUGCUCAGUGUAUCCAGAUGCCUCAUGCAGGCCCUCUCUGCUGGGUACCCAGGGGCCUCAAAGCGCUGGCCCCACCACCAGGACACUCCUUUGAGCCUCCCGACCUUCUCAUGGGUCCUUUGGAGCCUGGGUUUUGGAGUUUGUCCUUCCUAAAGUGCUGCCCACCUGAACGCAGCUGCCCCAGGACCACCGCUGACCAAAUGCGGCCACGUCCCCUGCAGGCCACCCAUCAAGGGCAC
rnacentral:lncRNA from 1 species